rnacentral:rRNA from 1 species
UGAGUAAUGCCUAGGAAUCUGCCUGGUAGUGGGGGAUAACGACCGGAAACGGACGCUAAUACCGCAUACGUCCUACGGGAGAAAGCAGGGGACCUUCGGGCCUUGCGCUAUCAGAUGAGCCUAGGUCGGAUUAGCUAGUUGGUGAGGUAAUGGCUCACCAAGGCGACGAUCCGUAACUGGUCUGAGAGGAUGAUCAGUCACACUGGAACUGAGACACGGUCCAGACUCCUACGGGAGGCAGCAGUGGGGAAUAUUGGACAAUGGGCGAAAGCCUGAUCCAGCCAUGCCGCGUGUGUGAAGAAGGUCUUCGGAUUGUAAAGCACUUUAAGUUGGGAGGAAGGGCAGUUGCCUAAUACGUAACUGUUUUGACGUUACCGACAGAAUAAGCACCGGCUAACUCUGUGCCAGCAGCCGCGGUAAUACAGAGGGUGCAAGCGUUAAUCGGAAUUACUGGGCGUAAAGCGCGCGUAGGUGGUUUGUUAAGUUGGAUGUGAAAUCCCCGGGCUCAACCUGGGAACUGCAUUCAAAACUGACUGACUAGAGUAUGGUAGA